GGGAGUACUUUAAUGUGGUGAAUUAGUGUAGACUGUAAAUCUACUGCCUCAGGCUAUAUGAGUUCAAUUCUCUUUACUCCCAC
rnacentral:tRNA from 1 species